AGAAACUAUCAUAGAAAAUGCUCCCAUGGUUAUACGCAGACUUAUUGAGCUCACUUCCUAUCCUUAUAUGAUGGUGAUUCGAGAGACUGCAAUUCAGUGCUUUGGUGCCAUGUCGGAGCUGCCGCAUGCGAGGAUAUAUCCCAUGAGGACACAGGUGUUGCAAGCUAUAACCAAAGCUCUUGAUGAUCCAAAGAGGGUUGUUCGUCUAGAGGCAGUCAAAUGUCGGCUAGCUUGGGCUUCAAUUGCAUCAAGGAGUAUUCACUUCUAAAACCACGCAUCACACCUCCUUGCAAGCCUGGUUGGGGUUUCCUGGAUAGCAGGAUGCUAUUACAUUCAUAGGUUGCAUCCUUACAGAUGGGGAUGUCAGACAUGGUCUUUCAAUAUCAAUACGAGGAAGUGGUCUCCAGAGAAGGGGGGGAAUGCCCAGGGUCUUUGGCAGCUGCCCUUUUUGAUCAAAGUUCUUGCUAAUGGAACAUCCACUCAGCCAAUCAAUCACAGUAUACUUGUUUGACAAUGGGAUGAUUCCCGAUCAGUGAUCCAACAUCGGAAGGGGCAGUGGUUUUAUUCCUAACCCCUGUGAGAGCGAUUCACCGUCAACCAUAAUGCUACAAUGACAUCCCACCUCCCCUCAGUUGGAUGCAGAGG
rnacentral:misc_RNA from 1 species